rnacentral:rRNA from 1 species
GAAUUGACGGGGGCCCGCACAAGCGGUGGAGCAUGUGGUUUAAUUCGAUGCAACGCGAAGAACCUUACCUGGUCUUGACAUCCACGGAAGUUUUCAGAGAUGGAAUGGUGCCUUCGGGAACCGUGAGACAGGUGCUGCAUGGCUGUCGUCAGCUCGUGUUGUGAAAUGUUGGGUUAAGUCCCGCAACGAGCGCAACCCUUAUCCUUUGUUGCCAGCGGUCCGGCCGGGAACUCAAAGGAGACUGCCAGUGAUAAACUGGAGGAAGGUGGGGAUGACGUCAAGUCAUCAUGGCCCUUACGACCAGGGCUACACAC